ensembl:lncRNA
CUCCUGGUGCAGCAAAACAUUCUGCUAACAAAUGCGAAAAAUCGACGUACCUUGGAUUUUUUGGCUGCCUGGUCUAUGAAAAUUUUAACAAUUUCGUUGAGGCCUGGAUCAAAUCUCCUAUUUUCCAGAAUAUAUUUUGCAGGCCACCUUUUUUCACAGGGCCUUGAAAAUCACCUUGUUGAAGUUUUUGAAUUUUGCUAGGGGUAUUUUAUAAAAGUCGUCCAUUAUUGCAUCCCAGAUUUUCACAGUAAGCCGGUUGGAGAUAGCUAAAAGUAAUUCCUCACCGAUGACGUGCCCUGAUUUUUUUUUUACAACCUGCAAAACAAGUUCAUACACACAGAUUUUCACCAAAAAUUGGAAUUUUUCUUUCUGUUGAAACAAUUCUAACGGAUGGAUAUAAUUUGCUGCCAAAACAAUUUUUUUGAAUACUAAUGCAACUGUUUUGUCAGGUUUUUGUGAAUUAAUUAAAUUGAGUAAAUCAACUCCCGGUUUGCGUUCGCUAAGACUAGUGCAAAUUGCCUCAGCAAUGCUGGCAAAAUGUUCCUGUCCUUCUAGGCCUGAAGGUAAAUCAUUUCCCUCGAGUUGAGGCCCAACUAAAUCUAAAAGAUGUUUUUGGAGAGAACAGGAAGGCUCGUACUCUGAUAUCUUCGCAAGCUGCGAAAUAAAAGCCUGAAUAAGUCUUUUCAGCCAUGCCUCAUCCUUUUUUCUUUUUUUUUUUUUUUUUAUCCCACUGGUUUUUCAGUGGCAAGCAG